rnacentral:lncRNA from 1 species
GAUUGCCCAAGAUCACAAACUUGUAAAACCAGAAAACAGGUUUUGGAACCUGGCUUAUUUAUUCCCCAAACCCGUGUCCUUUCCACUUGACUGUCUUGAAUUUCUGAGGCAAAUCAGAGAGUGGACACAGACAUUCAAGGGGAUGCAGGCUUCUGAUGACAGUCCUCAGCUCUUCUCUAAGGAACCGGAGGGGACUCACAAUCAGCGAGGUCAUUUCGGGAGUUCCGACCCCUGGAGUCUGACUCUCUUGGUGUCCCACACCAUUCCCGCCCCUGGAAGUCUGGUCGGGAUGAGCUGUUAGUCUUUGCUUCUCAUCUCCAGCAGGUUGGAGCUCUCUGCCUGUCUAACCGAGGCGCUGGGCCUGUUGUCCUUCUGUGACCUUCGUCUGUGUUCCGCAUCAGCAUCGCCUUUUCCAUGAUGAUUCGGGGAGGCAGGAGGGCACGAUGGUGCGGGUGCCAAACUUGAGAUGGAAUCCUCUUUGAUAGGUCCAUGGUUCCCAAACUGCGCACCGCAGCACCCAGGGACACCAUGACAGAUUCACGGGGACACCAUGGAAUGAUUGCAGUCUCUGAGAGAAACCCAGCGAUAUCCAACUUCUGUUGACCAGCACAGGAACCAUUAGCUCAAGGUAGCUCACAGUUUCAAAAUGAGACUACACUACAUUUCUUUUCAUGACAUCAUAUCUUUGCAAAGGUGGUGUUUUGGUGAUUGCUGUGAUAAAAAGUCGGCACCUCCGGAAAGGCAGAGUGGGACGGGAAAUAAGGGGGGUGGUAUCCCGUCUGAUUCUAAGGCUUCAGAAGCUGUGGAGGGCCCACCACCUACACACAUCCUAUUGGGUUCAGCUAGACUACUCCGGUGUCCCCCAGGGGCAGGCUCCUUGCCAUAAGACAGAGAGCAGACUAGGAUAUAUGUGCUUUGCAGAUAAGUUGGCUCAAAAAAAGGCAAGAGAAAAAGAGUCUGAAGUGGGGAAGCCCAGUUUCAUUCAGCCCACGGGCCAUACAAAAACAGGUGACAGGCCAGAUUUGAUCCUCUGGCUCCAGUUUGCCAACCACUAUGACAGAUGCUCGAUGUUUCCACCCAUUUAAGCUGAAGGUAAUGACAAGCCGGUAGAAGUAACCUACAGGGUCACAGUCUAUUAUGAGGAACUCUUCUAUGGAAACAAACAUUAUCACAUAGAGAUGACGGUGACUGCAUUCAGAUUGUAUACCAAGUGUCCAUGGUGGGAGGGAGGUGUCGAUCCUCGUCUGGUGAGCAAAGUGGAACGUUCACAGCAGACUCACCCCAACACCGUCCCGUUUAACAGUUACAUUUGCAAGAGGACUCGAUGGAAAUUCACUUUGAGGAACAGUUUCUAACGCAGAUGGGGUAGUAGCAUCAUUCAUCAGAAUGUGCUGUCGUCAACUGAUGGUUUGUAUGGACGGUGAAAUGGAUGGAUCUACUUCAAUUUUCACCCACUAUAAAUUUUUUCAUAAUAAAAGGUGGAGAGAGAAAUUAUGGAUCCUGGGAGUGACAGAAGAAGUUUGCUCAGCUUUGCUUCUAGGGGCCUCAGUGGCUGGGCCUUAAAGAUGCAGGAACUAGGACUACUUAUUUUUAAGAAGACCAUUUCUAUAACACUUAUUUGCAAGGAGAAGACCCCCUGCAGGUAUCAACAGGGCCCCUGCAGCUUUUGUAGAUUUUGCUUCGCCUUUUCUAAUGUCCCUGAGUGGAGUCCUGAAUCAAAAGCAUAUGUUACAGUGAGGAUGCCUGAGCCCUGCCCCAGAGCUACGACCGAAUCAGAAGGUUUGGGUCGGCCCCAGGAGUCUGACUUUUCAGCAGGUGAUGAUCAUGCUCAUGAGGAGCCUAUGGUUUACGUAAGGCUUCUAUUGCCCCAGAAUAAACUGUCCUUCGGGCCCAGGGCUUUGCUUCCUGGUCAUAUUCGGGGCCAUGGAACUCUCUCAAGGCGAGAAGCCAAGGCUAGAAGAUGGACUGGUCACUCCGUGCACCUUCCCCUUGGGGGUCGGGGGGGUCCCGUCAUUGCGGGGGGUGGCACUGCUAUGGGUUCCCCUAACUCGGCCACACUGUCUCCCUCCCUUCCUGUUGCCUGUGAAGGCCCCGCCCACUACCCACUGUCUCAGGUCACAGUCUCCCCUGCCCUUCAAUAAACUCCAGGUUUCCCAGAUGUCAGACAGUUGAGCAGCUUCUGCUCAGCCCUGCAAAAGCCACCGAGGCAAGAACAUACCAGGAGCCUGGCUAACUUCUAGGAACAAAGCAGGGAGAAAACCCAGAGGACAGAACACAAAGUAACGCUCCAUAAAUCAUCCUGCCGCAUGCCGAAAGCCACAGGAUAUUUCCUUUUCUGAACAAGAAACAAGGCCUCCUAAAAGCGUCAUAAAGCUGACCAUGAUUACAGAGUCAGUGAACGUCAUCAGCAUCGGCUGAGCCUCAUAUGUAGCCAGGCGCUUCAUGCUCCGAGGGGUUACAUCGCCUCUACUGCAUCAACAUGGCUAACAGACUUCAGAGCUGAGGUUCAAAACUGUGGUGGGUUUGCCUCCAUCAUAUGAAGGAGACAGAAGAGAAGAAGAGAUACGCUCCCCCCUACCCCGGAGAGCCAGGAAGUCUCCCGCGUCUCCUGCCUCUGUUCUUCCUGGGAGUCUUCAGCAGCUUGGAGGGCAGCUUCACAUCCUAUGCUUCUGAUCUGUGGGGCAGAAAGGUCGGGGCGUGGGGAAGGGAGGCUUGUUGGGAGAAAAUCCACUUUCUACGUGUGGCACGUGCUCUAACCCCAAGCGUUCACCAGCACAGACCUGAAGGAAGGACAUACACAUUUCUCUGGGUCUAUAAGGAACAGCAAACAGACCAGGCAUGGAUUAAAACUUGCUGCCUUCUUUUAGUAGAUGUCGCUCCUCUCAUUGCCCGUCAAUCAUUGUGUGACUUUGUCUCAACAUCAUCAUCAGUCAAUUGUUUACCUACCAAAUGCUCUUAUAGGCAGGCCUCACAUUUUUCAGUGUAAAUAAUAAUACCUGUGAAACUUACAUCAUCAAUUUUAUCUCAAAAUAAUUUAGUUAACGCUUGGUAAUUAUUUUAACUUAGAUGAAAGGGGCUAUACAUCUUUUAUUUUCCUCUUCUGAGAUAGACACAGAAAUGGAGAGAUGUAGAGUUGAAGGACGGAGAUCUUGCAAGAUGACUUUCCUUUACAACAUUGAACACAACUGCUAAACAUGAUGUGAGCAUCUUAAAAAGAGCCAAAGUAAUUGUUGUAGAGGUUCAAAAAUAUAUUGUUCAGUGAUGUGCCUUCAGUCUGCCUGUGACCUUUGUGCUGUGGCCUAAGGUCAGCAAGUAGAGAAGGGCUGAGAAAAAAGGUCUAAUGAAGCUCUCUUGUUGGAAGGAAGAGGAAGGGUUUAAAACAGAUUUAAAUAUCUUCAGAGGCAGGGCAGAGAAAG